rnacentral:rRNA from 1 species
UACGGGGGGGGCAAGCGUUGUUCGGAAUUACUGGGCGUAAAGGGCUCGUAGGUGGCCAACUAAGUCAGACGUGAAAUCCCUCGGCUUAACCGGGGAACUGCGUCUGAUACUGGAUGGCUAGAGAUUGGGAGAGGGAUGCGGAAUUCCAGGUGUAGCGGUGAAAUGCGUAGAUAUCUGGAGGAACACCGGUGGCGAAGGCGCCACUCUGGGCCGAAACUGACGCUGAGGAGCGAAAGCGUGGGUAGCAAACAGG